rnacentral:rRNA from 1 species
CCCUUAGAUGUUCGGGGCCGCACGCGCGCUACACUGAAGGACUCAGCGUGUCUCUCCCCCUAUCCCGAAAGGGAUGGGCAACCCGUUGAACCUCCUUCGUGCUAGGGAUUGGGGCUUGUAAUUUUUCCCCAUGAACGAGGAAUUCCCAGUAAGCGCGAGUCAUCAGCUCGCGUUGAUUACGUCCCUGCCCUUUGUACACACCGCCCGUCGCUACUACCGAUUGAAUGGUUUAGUGAGACCUUCGGAUUGGUCCCGGCAUGGUGGGAAACUGCCUGGCCGUGGUUGCUGAGAAGAUGUUCAAACUUGAUCAUUUAGAGGAAGUAAAAGUCGUAACA